GACGAACGCUGGCGGCGUGCUUAACACAUGCAAGUCGAACGAAGUGGCGAACGGGUGAGUAACGCGUAAUCAACCUGCCCUUCAGAGGGGGACAACAGUUGGAAACGACUGCUAAUACCGCAUACUGAAGGAGGGGAUUGCGUCUGAUUAGCUAGUUGGAGGGGUAACGGCCCACCAAGGCGAUGAUCAGUAGCCGGUCUGAGAGGAUGAACGGCCACAUUGGGACUGAGACACGGCCCAGACUCCUACGGGAGGCAGCAGUGGGGGAUAUUGCACAAUGGGCGAAAGCCUGAUGCAGCGACGCCGCGUGGGGGAUGAAGGCUUUCGGGUUGUAAACCUCUUUCGCUAUCGAACGGGUAGGUGGAGAAGAAGCGCCGGCUAACUACGUGCCAGCAGCCGCGGUAAUAC
rnacentral:rRNA from 1 species